rnacentral:rRNA from 1 species
ACGAACGCUGGCGGCGUGGAUAAGACAUGCAAGUGGGACGCUAAUCAAUGAAUAGCAAUAUUUGCUGGUUGGAGUCGCGUAAGGGUGCGUAACACGUGGGUAAUUUGCCGCGAAGUCAGGAAUAACUUGCCGAAAGGCGAGCUAAUACCAGAUGUGGUUAAGUGCAGGAUUCUGUGCUUUACCAAAGCCGGGGACCGUAAGGCCUGUGCGCUUCGCGAUAAGCCCGCGGCCUAUCAGCUAGUUGGUGAGGUAACGGCUCACCAAGGCUACGACGGGUAGCUGGUCUUAGAGGACGACCAGCCACACUGGAACUGAGACACGGUCCAGACACCUACGGGUGGCAGCAGUCGAGAAUUUUUCAACAAUGGGGGAAACCCUGAUGGAGCGACGCCGCGUGGGGGAUGAAUGGCUUCGGCCCGUAAACCCCUGUCAUUCGGGAUCAAUGCUGGCAACUUAAUACGUUGCCAGUUGAUAGUACUGAAAGAGGAAAGGGACGGCUAACUCUGUGCCAGCAGCCGCGGUAAUACAGAGGUCCCAAGCGUUGUUCGGAUUUACUGGGCGUAAAGGGCGCGUAGGGUGGCGGGCUAAGUCUGGUGAUGAAAAUCUCUGGGCUCAACUCAGAAAUGGCACUAGAUACUAGUUUGCUUGAGGAUUGGAGGGGAGACCUGGAAUUCUCGGUUGUAGCAGUGAAAUGCGUAGAUAUCGAGAGGAACACCAGUGGCGAAGGCGAGUCUCUGGACAAUUCCUGACAGCUGAGGGCGCGAAAGCUAGGGGGGAGCAAACGGGAUUAGAUACCCCGGUAGUCCAUAGCUGCUAAACGGUGGCACGCUUGCUGUAAGCGGAUUCGACCCCGCUUGUAGCGAAGCUAACGCGUUAAGCCGUGCCGCCUGGGAAGUACGGUCGCAAGAUUAAAACUCAAAGAAAUUGACGGGGGCCUGCACAAGCGGUGGAGUUAUGUGGCUUAAUUCGAUGCAACGCGAAGAACCUUACCUGGCCUUGACAUGCAAGUAGUAGAAGCCUGAAAGGUGUGACGAGGUAGCAAUACCAGCUUGCACAGGUGCUGCAUGGCUGUCGUCAGCUCGUGUCGUGGAGAUGUUGGGUUAAGUCCCGCAACGAGCGCAACCCCUGUGUCCUGUUGCUCCGGAUAAAACCGGUGCACUCUGGACAGACUGCCUCGCUUAAACGAGGAGGAAGGUGGGGAUGACGUCAAGUCAGGAUGGCCCUUACGGCCAGGGCUGCACACGUACUACAAUGCCCAGUACAAAGGGCUGCGCGGUGGCAACGCCAAGCAAAUCCUCAAAACUGGGCCCAGUUCAGAUUGUCGUCUGCAACUCGACGGCAUGAAGCCGGAAUCGCUAGUAAUGGCGCAUCAGCUACGGCGCCCGUGAAUACGUUCCCAGGCCUUGUACACCACCGCCCGUCACAAUCAUGAAAGCCGGUUGUACCCGAAGUCGCCCGUUAUAAGGGUGGCGAAGGUAUGGCUGGGUGAUUGGGAUG